AUACGGAGGAUCCGAGCGUUAUCCGGAUUUAUUGGGUUUAAAGGGUGCGCAGGCGGCCAUUUAAGUCAGCGGUUAAAUCGUGGGGCUCAACCCCAUUCUGCCGUUGAUACUGGGUGGCUUGAUUGCGGUCGAGGUUGGCGGAAUUCGUUGUGUAGCGGUGAAAUGCAUAGAUAUGACGAAGAACACCGAUUGCGUAGGCAGCUGGCCAGACCGCAAAUGACGCUCAUGCACGAAAGUGCGGGGAUCGAACAGGAUUAGAUACCCUGGUAGUCCGCACAGUAAACGAUGAAUACUUGUUUUCGGCGAUAUAAUGUCGGAGGCAAAGCGAAAGCGAUAAGUAUUCCGCCUGGGGAGUACGCCGGCAACGGUGAAACUCAAAUGAAUUGACGGGG
rnacentral:rRNA from 1 species